rnacentral:rRNA from 1 species
CCCGAGAUGAGUUCUCCCUGACCCUUUAAGGGUCCUGAAGGAACGUUGAAGACUACGACGUUGAUAGGCCGGGUGUGUAAGCGCAGCGAUGCGUUGAGCUAACCGGUACUAAUGAACCGUGAGGCUUAACCUU